rnacentral:misc_RNA from 1 species
GUGAAUCAUCGAAUUUUUGAACGCAAAUUGCACUCUCUUCGGAGAGUAUGCCUGUUUGAGGGUCAGCCUAUAAAAAAUCGACAUUGUUGCUGUUUUGGGGUGGAGUUCGUUGGAAAUUGGGUUAUUUUUAAUCCUUUUGGGUUUUAAGCGACUUAAAUUUUUUUUUUUGGUUCAAUGAACGUUUCUAAGAUUUAUUUUUUUACAUGUUUAAGGUAUUGAUUUUUUUUAGACGUGACUUUCAUAU